UGGGCAUUGUGGCUCUUGGACACGCCUGUUGCUACUUGACAAGCCACAGGCUUAUCUGUUCAGCACUGAGAGAAGUUUCCGUAUCAAGAGCCUGCCUCUGAGGGAACGGACUGUGGACAGUGGUCAAGGAGAAAUUCCUCUUCUGAUUAGUUUUAUUGCCCCUGUGACAUCUGAGGAGUAUGAAGUAGGCUGGUAAUUCAAUCCUAGAAGGAAAUUGGAAUAUUAAAGAAACAGCUUAUUGUUGCAAUCCCAUCAAACUUGCCUCUUCCAGUGGCAGUGAGAAGCUCCAUUGUGGGUGGAGAUGGAUUUAGGAACGACUUUCUGCAUGAAAAUGGCAUUUCAACUGGACAUAGAAAGAUCAUCUGGAGGGAAGUUGGAGACAGCUUGGGGACCGAGGAGUAUUCCAAAGUACAACGGGUCCAGAGCCAAGGGUUGCAGGUGGGCUCCAGAAGCUGGAAAAGGCAAGGAGACAGAUGCUCCUCUGGAACCUCCUGGAAGAAGUACAGCCUUGCUCACCUCCCGAUUUUAGCCCAACGAGUCUGUCCUCAGAUUUCUGACCUCCAGAACGGUAAGAUAAUAAAUUUGUAUUAUUCUGUGCCGUUCGGUAUACGGUGAUUUCUUACGGCAGUCAUUUUCGAAAGUAAUACACAUGCUGGGUUCUGAGAGAAUUAUCAGACGCCUGGAGCGUUACCGUAUCGAUGCCCCGGGGCUCUGUGUGGUCGGUGAGAGCCGCACGGGCUUCUAGCAGGUGUUGGUGUCUGGAGCAGCUGAGUGGUAGCUUCAAGGUUCUGUGGAGUUGCUUGAUUUAGAACGGGACUUGGCCAGUUGUCAGGGGCCUGGUUGGGACCAGCUCCUAGCAAGUGAUCGGGCGGCGUCUCCAAGUACGAGUCGGUGAGGUUUGAAGGGAUGUGGAGUUCUGUGGUCUGGAACAUAGGAUCAAGAGCAGUGCUGUCCAGUGGGAGCACAAACACCCUAUGCGAGUCGGUUUUCAGUCUUCAGAGAAUAUAUUUUAUACUUUUUCUCUAUCUUCCGAAGUUCAGACUUUUAGAAAAAGGAAGCACAUGUUGUUCAAAAAACAGUUAUUGAUUUUUUUUUUUUUUUUUUUUUUUGCGGUACACGGGCCUCUCACUGCUGUGGCCUCUCCCAUUGCGGAGCACAGGCUCCGGACGCGCAGGCGCAGCGGCCAUGGCUCACGGGCCCAGCCGCUCCGCGGCAUGUGGGAUCUUCCCAGACUGGGGCACGAACCUGUGUCCCCUGCAUCCAUUUUGAAAUGGGAAUUAUAUCAGACUGUUGGCUCAGAAAAUAUAAAAAGACAAUGGAAACACACGUUGUUUGUUUCAACAUGAUGGAAAUAGAAAAUAAUUCUCAGCAAGAAAACAUCACCCAAAGGCAA